AGAGCGAACGCUGGCGGCAGGCUUAACACAUGCAAGUCGAGCGGGCGUAGCAAUACGUCAGCGGCAGACGGGUGAGUAACGCGUGGGAACAUACCUUUUGGUUCGGAACAACACAGGGAAACUUGUGCUAAUACCGGAUAAGCCCUUACGGGGAAAGAUUUAUCGCCGAAAGAUUGGCCCGCGUCUGAUUAGCUAGUUGGUGAGGUAACGGCUCACCAAGGCGACGAUCAGUAGCUGGUCUGAGAGGAUGAUCAGCCACAUUGGGACUGAGACACGGCCCAAACUCCUGCGGGAGGCAGCAGUGGGGAAUAUUGGACAAUAGGCGCAAGCCUGAUCCAGCCAUGCCGCGUGAGUGAUGAAGGCCCUAGGGUUGUAAAGCUCUUUUGUGCGGGAAGAUAAUGACGGUACCGCAAGAAUAACGCCCGGCUAACUCGUGCCAGCAGCCGC
rnacentral:rRNA from 1 species